rnacentral:lncRNA from 10 species
GGACACCGGAGGGAAGUAUGGACGGCCGGGCCGGGCCGGGCCGGGCGGAGCGUGAAGCCGGGUUAGGGCCCGCCGGGUUUGGGCCCACCGGCUCUCAUCGGUCAUCAAGAACUUGCAGAAAGCCGGGCACGGUGGCUCGCGGUUGUAAUCCCAACACUGUGGGAGUCCAAGGCGCGAAGAUCGCUUGAGCCGAGGAGUUAGAGACCAACUUGGGCAACGUAGGAGACCUCCGUCUCCACAAGUAAAAUUAAUUAGCCGGCUGUGGUGGCGCGCACCUGUGGUCCCAGCUACUCAGGAGGCUGAGGUAGGAGGAUCACCUGAGCCCGGGAGGUCGAGGCCACAGUGAGACAAAAAACAAAAAACCCACCCUGCACAAGAUGCUCAUGUUCCCUGUUUUAUAAUGGCAAAAAAUUAGAAGCAGCUGGGCCGAGAUACACUGCAAAUGCAGAUGAGAAGAAUAAAUAAUGUCCAUAAAACUAGUUUCCCUAUAGACAUUUAAAAGCAUAAGUUGACAUUUAACCAUUUUCCACAGGGAACAGGUAUUUGUUAUAAUAGCAACAGCUACGUUCACUGUUUACUAGGUGUCAGUUGCGGAGCUGGUAUUGUACAUGUCCUCGCAUUUGGCCCUCCUGAAAAUCCGAGGUAGGUCUUGUUACAGGGCCUCACAGAAGGGGAAGGGGAGGCUGCCUCCCCUCGAGGGAAACACAGGUCCCCACCUGCCCAGCUCUGGCCCAACUAGAGACGCUGCCCGGACCACUCUGGGGGGACUUUGAUCAUGCUACUGCAUGCCCUUGCUGUACCCAGGUCUUGUGUCAGAGGUAAGCCUCCCCUCAGCCCCUGCCUACUGCCCGAGACACCCGCACCCACCCCAGGGCUACCUGGAUAAGGCAGGCCCUGUACCUGCCCUCAAAGGCACCAGCAAACUUCUCUGGGAGUUCCAGAAAGUGCAGAUCUAGUCACCAAUGCAAGGCAGAAAUUAGAGGUGGCCCUUCUGACCGCACCAGCCCCCGACCCACUACACAUUCUUCAGAUACCUCCUCCUAAAACCCAGUUCCCACCGGACUCUGGCCUCCCUCCUUGCCCACCACACUAUUGUCACAAUGAAAGUAACAAUGGGGACAGUGGGCCUUGGCCCAAAGUGACUUUCAGGGUUAUGACAUUUUCAGCAUUGUCUUUUGGCUUAAUAUGGGAAUUUUGAUCCUAUAAAGAAAGUAUUCGCUGGGCGCGGUGGCUCACGCCUGUAAUCCCAGCACUUUGGGAGGCCAACACGGGCAGAUCAUGAGGUCAGGAGAUCGAAACCAUCCUGGCUAACACGGUGGAACCCCAUCUCUACUAAAAAUACAAAACAAACAAAAAAAAAAUUAGCCGGGCGUGGUGGCAGGUGCCUGUAGUCCCAGCUACUCGGGAGGCUGAAGCAGGAGAAUGGCAUGAACCCGGGGGGCAGAGCUUGCAGUGAGCCGAGAUCAUGCCACUGCACUCCAGCUUGGGCGACAGAGCGAGACUCCGUCUCAAAAAAAAAAAGAAAAAAAAAAAGAAAGAAAGAAUUUUUUAGGUUAUUUUUAUUUUUACAUUUGAGGUCUCACUCCUUUACCCAGGCUGGAGUGCAGUGGUGUGGUCAUAGCUCACUGCAGCCUCAACCUCCUGGGCUCAAGUGAUCCUCCCAAGAAGGUAGGACUACAGAUGAGCGCCACCAUGCCAUUUUUGUUUUUGUUAUUUUUAUCAAGAUGGGGUCUUUUGCUGUGUUGCCCAGGCUGGUCUCAAACUCCUGGGCUCAAGCAGCCUUCCCAUGUUGGCCUCCCAAACUGCUAGGAUUACAGGCAUGAGCCACCGUGCCCAUCCUGUUUGUUGUAUUAAAUGAGAGAGAAGCAACAAUAGAGAGCAUUCAGGGGAACUUACCUACACCCCUUACCUAUCCUGACAUCACUCUCUCCAGGUCUGAUCCCUUGAAAUACCAUCAUUUGUCCCCUCAGAAACCUUGGGCAUGAAGGAGUCCUCCUGAGCCCUGGGCCCACUGUACCAAAGUCUUCUCUCCAGAGAGGGUCAGGAGCCUGUCUUUUAACCACCUCCAUGGCAGGACUUAGCCAGACUGCCUUGGGAACUGCUGUCAUUCUCCUCACUCACCACCUCUUCCCACCCAACCACUCCAUCAAAGCUGUGUUUGCAGAGGACUGACCCUCAGUGAAGUCUGGACACUCCCCCACAAAAAAUAAGAGGCUCCAAAACUGACAAGCACCUAGCUAAGUACCUUUGUGCCUUGAAGCAUGGCAAACAAUCCUCCACUGCCCUAAGAGAACCCACUGAGAAUCCUGUGGAGCCUCUGGGGAAGCUGGGGUUUAUGGGGCCCUGGUAAAUCUGCUACAGAAUGCCCCCCAUGGAAUAUAAUGAAGUGGACAUGAUUUUUGGGCUUCUCCCACAACAUUUUUUUUUUUUGAGACACAGUCUCAUUCUGUUGUCCAGGCUGGAGUGCAGUGGUGAGGUGUUGGCUCACAGCAACCUCCCCCUCCCAGGUUCAAGUGAUUCUCCCACCUCAGCCUCCUGAGUAGCUGGGAUUAUAGGUGUGCGCCACCAUGCCUGGCUAAUUUUUUUUUGCAUUUUUAGUAGAGACAGAGUUUCGCCAUGUUGGCCAGGCUGUCUCAAACUCCUGAUCUCAGGUGGGAUCCACCCGCCUCAGCCUCUCAAAGUGCUGGGAUUACGGGCGUGAGCCACCUCACCUGGCCCUUUUUUUUUUUUUUUUGAGACCAAGUCUCUGUCACCCAGGCUGGAGCACAGUGGCACAAUCUUGGCUCACUGCAACCUCCACCUCUCAGGUUCCAGCGAUUCCCGUGCCUCAACCUCUUGAGUAGCUGGGACUACAGGCUUGCGCCAUCGCGCCAGGUUUAUUUUUGUAUUUUUAGUAGAGACGAGGUUUUUGCCAUGUUGCCCAGGCUGGUCUCGAACUCCUGGGCCCAAUCGAUCCACCCGCUGUAAUCCCGGGAUUACAGGUAUGACCCACCAUGCCCAGCCUCCUACAACAUUUAAUAUGAAAACAUAACAGAAAAGUUGAAAGAACCAUAGAGUGAACACUCAUAUACCCUAGAUUCAACUAUUAAUGUUUUGCUUAGUAUCUCAUGUCUAUCUAAAAAAAUCUAUCCUUUUAUUCAUCUAUCUGUAAUUGCCCAAGGGUUCUUCUUGCCCACUGCGCAGACAAAAUCAAUUCACUGAGGCCUUGGCAUUGCAGUAAAGAGUUUCACUGACGCAAGGCUGGCGAUGCACAAGGCCACGCAGAAGAUGGAGCUGUUACUCAAAUCAGUCUCCCCAAAGGCUUAGAGGUCAGGGUUUUUCAAGGAUAGUUUGGUAGGCAGGGUGCUAGGGAAUGGGAAAUGUUGAUUGGUUGGGGAUGCAAUCAUAGGAGGAGUCCUCAAGCGCUGAGUCAGCCUCUGGGUGGAGUCAGCAGAAAUGCAAAAGUCUGAAAAGAAACACCUCAAGGCCGGGCGCGGUGGCUCACGCCUGUAAUCCCAGCACUUUGGGAGGCUGAGGCAGGUGGAUCACGAGAUCAGGAGAUCGAGACCUUCCUAGCUAACACGGUGAAACCCCGCCUCUACUAAAUAUACAAAAAAUUAGCCGGGUGUGGUGGCGGGCACCUGUAGUCCCAGCUACUCUGGGGGCUGAGGCAGGAGAAUAGCAUGAACCCAGGAGGCGGAGCUUGCAGUGAGCCGAGAUCAUGCCGCUGCACUCUAGCCUGGGCAACAGAACGAGACUCUGUCUCAAAAAAAAAAAAAAAAAAAAAAGAAAGAAAGAAAGAAAGAAAGAAAAGAAACAUCUCAAAAGGCAAGUCUUAGGUUCUACAAUAGUGAUGUUAUCUAUAGGAGUAACUGAGGAAGUUACAAAUCUUGUGACUUCCAGAGCAAUGACUGGUUAUCAUUUAACUACACCUACACCUUAGCAGAAUUCAGGCCCCUCCUAUAAAAAUCCUAGACUUGUGGCUUUUCAUUAGUUUUACAAAGGCGGUUUAGUUUUGGAGAGGGCUAAUGUCAUCCUUGCUUUAAGGUUGAACUAUAAAUUCCUCCCAAAGUUACCUUCGCCUAUCCCCAGGUUGGAGGUUAGAAGCAAGAUAGAGCUGGGCACGGUGGUUCACUCCUGUAAUCCCAGCAUUUUGGGAGGCCGAGGCAGGCAGAUCACCUGAGCAGGAGUUCGAGACCAGCCUGACCAACAUGGAGAAACCCUGUCUCUACUAAAAAUACAAAAUUAGCCAGGUGUGGUGGCGCAUGCCUGUAAUCCCAGCUACUCAGGAGACUGAGGCAGGAGAAUAGCUUGAACCUGGGAGGCAGAAGUUGUGGUGAGCCGAGAUCGUGCCAUUGCACUCCAGCCUGGGCAACAAGAGCAACACGCUGAGAGAAAAAAAAGAAAAAGAAAAGGAAGCAACAUGGAGUCAACCAUGUCAGGUUUUUCUUACUGCCAUAAUUUUGCAAAGGUGAUUUCGUAUCAAUCCUUUAUUUUAAGAGAUAGGGUAUUGCUCUAUGGUCCAGGCUGGAAUGCGGUGGCACAAUCACAGCUCACUGCAGCCUUGACCUCCUGGGCUCAAGCAAGCUUCCCAAGUAGCUGGGACCACAGGUGGGUAUGACCACUCCCAGCUAAAUUUCAGAGUUUUUUAAAUAGAGAUGAGGGUCUCUCUGUUGCCCAGGCUGGUCUUGAACUCUUGGCCUCAGGCAACUCUCCCAUCUUGGCCUCCACAAGUGCUAGGAUUAUAGGUGUGAGCCACCAUACCCAGCCCCUAUCUUAUUUUUGAUGCACUUCCAGUUAAGUUGCAGAAACCUGAUUUUAGUUUUUAUAUAUAGUAAAUCAAAUGGAACAGUUCCAUUUAGCCCUAACUAGGUAGAGCUCAACUUUACUUCAGAUUGUUCCCCAUAAGAAAGGUGAAUUCAGGCCGGGCACGAUGGCUCAUGCCUGUAAUCCCAGCACUUUGGGAGGCCAAGGCAGGCGGAUCACGAGGUCAGGAGAUUGAGACCAUGCUGGCUAACAUGGUGAAACCCCGUCUCUACUAAAGAAAAUACAAAAAAUUAGCCAGGCGUGGUGGCGGGCGCCUGUAGUCCCAGCUACUGGGGAGGCUGAGGCAGAAGAAUGGCGUGAACCUGGGAGGCAGAGCUUGCAGUGAGCCAAGAUUGCGCCACUGCACUCCAGCCUGGGAGAAAGAGCGAGACUCCGUCUCGAAAAAAAAAAAAAAAAGAAAGGUGAAUUUGAAUUCAGGCCAGGCAUGGUGGCUCACGCCUGUAAUCCCAGCACUUCGGGAGGCCAAGGCGGGCGGAUCACUUAAGGUCAGGAGUUCGAGACCAGCCUCCCAACAUGGUGAAACCCCAUCUCUACUAAAAAUACAUAAAUGAGCCAGGCAUGGUGAUGCAUGCCUGUAAUCCCAGCUACUUGGGAGGCUGAGGGAUGAGAAUCCCUUGAACCUGGGAGACGGAGGUUGCAAUGAUCUGAGAUCACGACACUGCACUCCAGCCUGGGCAACAGAGUGAGACUCUGUUGUUGUAACCGAGUGAGUUAUAGAGAAACACCACACUUUGAGAUGAAUUGAGGAGUCCUUUAUUAGCCAGUGACCGAGAGACGGCUAGCACUCAAAAUUCUCUCAGCCCCAAAGAAGGGUCUAGAUUUUCUUUUAUACUUUGGUUUGGCAAGGGGAAGGGAAAUCGAGUUGAAGCAAUCUCACAGAAGUAAAAACAGGCAAAAAAAGUUAAAAAGACAAAUGGUUACAGGAAAACAGUUCCAGGUGCAGGGGCUUUAAAUUCAUCACAAGGUGAUAGGUGCGUGGGCUCUGGGUGCUAUCUACAGGACACAAAUGCGGGGGCUUAGGAUACUAUCACCUGAGCGAAUUUCUGGGAACUGUGGACAGAGCUUGCCACAGUACCUUAUCAGUUAAUUGCACUUUUUGAUGUGCUGGGAGUCAGCUUGCACAAGUUAAGUCCUUGAGGAAGGGGGUGGGUAAGGAGCCCUUGAUGUCUUGCAAAUGAAGGAGCCAAAUGGAGUCUGUCCGGCUUUCUCAGCUAAGGAAGAGUCUAUUCAUAUUAAAACAAGGUAAGGUAUCACACUGUCUCAAAAAAAAAAAAAAAAAAAAAAAAGAAAGGUAAAUUCAAAAACUUUAAAAACUAAAUGUGGCAUGGAAAUCAAGAAAUGAUAACAAUUUCUAAUACUUGAGCUUCUACCCUGGGCCAAUUCUCAAACCUGAUCUCAAUUAAUCCUCAGAACAAUCUUGAAAUAUAGAGGCUAAGUUUAUUUUACAAAUGUAGAAAAUUUCUCUGCAGAGAGGAGAUGAUGUGUCCAAGGUCACUCUGAGAACUGAACAGAGGGCCGCCUUCUGGGACCCAAGACUCCAGGUUCCAGCCCACUGCCCAGCUGCCUCACCCUGU